UACGUAGGCAGCGAGCGUUGUUCGGAGUUACUGGGCGUAAAGAGUGCGUAGGCGGUUUUCUAAGUUUGGUGUGAAAUCUCCCGGCUUAACCUGGGAAUGGCAUUUGGGACUGCAAGGCUUGAGUGCGGCAGAGGAGACUGGAAUUCCCGGUGUAGCAGUGAAAUGCGUAGAUAUCGGGAGGAAUACCGAUGGCGAAGGCAGGUCUCUGGGCUGACACUGACGCUCAUGCACGAAAGCGUGGGGAGCAAACAGG
rnacentral:rRNA from 1 species